GAUGCAGCCAUGCCGCGUGUGUGAAGAAGGCCUUCGGGUUGUAAAGCACUUUCAGUUGUGAGGAAAAGUUAGUAGUUAAUACCUGCUAGCCGUGACGUUAACAACAGAAGAAGCACCGGCUAACUCCGUGCCAGCAGCCGCGGUAAUACGGAGGGUGCGAGCGUUAAUCGGAAUUACUGGGCGUAAAGCGCACGCAGGCGGUUUGUUAAGCUAGAUGUGAAAGCCCCGGGCUCAACCUGGGAUGGUCAUUUAGAACUGGCAGACUAGAGUCUUGGAGAGGGGAGUGGAAUUCCAGGUGUAGCGGUGAAAUGCGUAGAUAUCUGGAGGAACAUCAGUGGCGAAGGCGACUCCCUGGCCAAAGACUGACGCUCAUGUGCGAAAGUGUGGGUAGCGAACAGGAUUAGAUACCCUGGUAGUCCACACCGUAAACGCUGUCUACUAGCUGUGUGUGCCUUUAAGGCGUGCGUAGCGAAGCUAACGCGCUAAGUAGACCGCCUGGGGAGUACGGCCGCAAGGUUAAAACUCAAAUG
rnacentral:rRNA from 1 species